UGCAGGAGUUCUUUUAACUACCAUCAUAUCCAGUUGAACUGUCAAGGAGAUGAAUGAUGACCUUUGAGAGAAGAACAGUAAGGAUGAAGUAAAGAAGAAAAGGAAGGGUAUUUCCAACUAUGGAAACAGUAUGUGCAUUUCUGGUGGCAAAACAGGUCAUGGCAAGUCUAAGGAACUCAUAUAAAUCAAGAAAUGUCCUGGUAUGAGAGGAGACUGAAGAGACAGCUAAGGACUGGGGGAGAUUACUGUGAUUACUUGAAACAGCGGUGGAACUCCUGAAGAAAGAGGUUAAGAGAGGCCCUUGGAAGAAUAACAUGAUGUUUUCUCAAAAGGAACUCUGGAGCUCAAAUAACUAUGAAGGGCUUCUCUGGUGGCUCAGAUGGUAAAGAAUCUGCAUGCAAUGCAGAAGACUCAGGUUUGAUCCCUGGGUCUGGAAGAUCCCCUGGAGAGGUAACGGCUCCCCACUCCAAUAAUAUUGCCUGGAGAAUUCCAUGGACAGAGGAGGCUGGCAGGACGACCGAGCAGCUACCACUUCCACUUUCACUUUUCCAAGUAGAUUUGGCAGCCCGCUCCAGUAUUCUUGACUGAAAAAUCCCACGAUAGAGGAGCCUGGCACGCCACAGUCCAUGGGGUAGCAGAAUCAGACACAACUGGCAUGCGUGCACAACUAUUG
ensembl:lncRNA